GUAGAGGUCAAGAGAGCCUCCCCUCCCCACCAUUCCCAGAAAAGGAGGAAGGGGCUGAUGGACUCUCUGGGAACCCCCUCCCCUCCCUGCGCCCCGUCAUCAAGAAGAAAAUUCGAAGAAAAGGUUUAGCAGGGACAGAGAAGCGACCUGUCCCGGAAACCCCUUAAAGCCUGCGGGUAACAUGUUUGCUCCCUCCUCCCCCACUCGGACUAUAGAAGUAUCACCAAUCCACUGCAGAGAAAUUGGGAAAAUUCAGAAAAACAAAAAAUAAAAAGAAAUCC
rnacentral:lncRNA from 1 species